UGAGGAAUAUUGGACAAUGGGCGAGAGCCUGAUCCAGCCAUGCCGCGUGCAGGAAGACGGUCCUAUGGAUUGUAAACUGCUUUUAUACAGGAAGAAACCCUCGGACGUGUCCGAGCUUGACGGUACUGUAUGAAUAAGCACCGGCUAACUCCGUGCCAGCAGCCGCGGUAAUACGGAGGGUGCAAGCGUUAUCCGGAAUCAUUGGGUUUAAAGGGUCCGUAGGCGGACUAAUAAGUCAGGGGUGAAAUCC
rnacentral:rRNA from 1 species